CAGGAAGGGCCUCUUUUCCCCUCUGCUCCUGCUGCAGUGGCAUGAUGUGAUCCACCAGCCAGGAGGGACACCAACAAGGCGUCCGAUAAGCAUAUUGUAGGGAGCUGCAGAAUACCGCACCCAAAAGAUGGCGCCGGUUUCCACCCUCCGCCAGCCCGACGGCGAGCGCUCUCUGUGGUAAACAACUCCAAAUUUGGUAAAGAUGAAUAAGAAGGAAAGAGGAACACAAGAAUGUCGGAAAACAGUGGGACCAAAAGAACCAGACAUACACACCGGGUGUGACACAGUCCUCCUGUCCAUGGGCCUUUCAGUAAAGACCCAGGAGAAGGCAUCAGAGGCAGUUUCAUUGGCAUCAUCUACCAGGCUUCCUCCAUUUGGCUAGCCCCUGAGCCAGACUCCACAGAGAAAGCAGAACCGUGGGCCUGGAGCCUUGUGGUACUUUCAUGAUUGCCUCAUGCUUGGCAGCCUUCUCUGCAACAAAGGCUAUAGUUGAACUGUUGAGGAUGUUAAGAAAUCCAGUCCCAAGAGGAAGUCUACGGAUGGUAUCAGAACAAUUAUAUAUUAAACGUUUCAGACUUCAAAAUUAUUAACCAGCUCAGGAAACCAAUUAAGAAGGGUGAAUGGAUGUGAUCAGACUAGCUAGAAGCUUAAUCUGUCAAUGAAGAGUCUUGAGGAGCUGACUUCUGCAUUGCAGCUGGUCUAAGGGCUGAGAACGAGAAUUGACUACUCAUCCUCCUCACACCUGAAACAGCUGUCGUUUGCUGUUUUGACCAAAUACUUAUCUUUCAUCCAUCCUGAAACCCAGGCUAAUUUUCACACUUCAGUCAUACUUUGGAACACUGCUCUUGGAAAG
ensembl:lncRNA